AACGGCCGUACCAUGCUGAAUAUACCGGUUCUCGUUAGAUCACCGAAGUCAAGCAGUAUUGGGCGCGGUCAGUACUUGGGUGGGUGACCACUUGGGAACACCGCGUGCCGUU
rnacentral:rRNA from 1 species